rnacentral:rRNA from 1 species
UACGUAGGGCGCGAGCGUUGUCCGGAAUUAUUGGGCGUAAAGAGCGUGUAGGCGGCUUGGCAAGUCUGACGUGAAAUCCCGCGGCUCAACCGCGGUAGGUCGUUGGAAACUGCCUCGCUAGAGUCCGGAAGAGGAGAGCGGAAUUCCUGGUGUAGCGGUGGAAUGCGCAGAUAUCAGGAAGAACACCCGUGGCGAAGGCGGCUCUCUGGGACGGUACUGACGCUGAGACGCGAAAGCGUGGGGAGCGAACAGG